rnacentral:rRNA from 1 species
UACGAAGGGGACUAGCGUUGUUCGGAAUCACUGGGCGUAAAGCGCGACGUAGGCGGAUGUGUCAGUCAGGGGUGAAAUCCUGGAGCUCAACUCCAGAACUGCCUUUGAUACUGGCGAUCUCGAGUCCGGGAGAGGUGAGUGGAACUGCGAGUGUAGAGGUGAAAUUCGUAGAUAUUCGCAAGAACACCAGUGGCGAAGGCGGCCGACUGGUCCGGUUCUGACGCUGAGGCACGAAAGCGUGGGGAGCAAACAGG